AUGAUCAUAUUUUCCUUGUGAUGUUUUAUAUCAAAAUUGUCAAUUUGUUGAUAUAAAUAUACUAGUAGCACUUUACUCAUUUUAGUAAUGUUAGUUAGUACUCUUAUCAUAUCUGAUUUAGUGAUGUAAAUGAAAAUUGCGGUAUGAUCCAGACUCAACAUAUUGCACUACAAUAAUAAAAAAAAAUCUGCCCUAUGGUUGUCUGAUCUUGAAGCGGUUGGCAGGCUUUCAAACUAACAGGAGAC
rnacentral:lncRNA from 1 species